rnacentral:rRNA from 1 species
CUACUGUUUGGGAAUGAGCCCGCGUACCAUUAGCUGGUUGGUGGGGUAAAGGCCCACCAAGGCGACGAUGGUUAGCUGGUCUGAGAGGAUGAUCAGCCACACUGGAACUGACACACGGUCCAGACUCCUACGGGAGGCAGCAGUGAGGAAUUUUGCGCAAUGGGGGAAACCCUGACGCAGCAACGCCGCGUGAGUGAUGAAGGCUUUCGGGUCGUAAAGCUCUGUCAAGUGGGAAGAAUCUGUACGAUAUUAAUACUAUCGUGCACUGACGGUACCACUGAAGGAAGCACCGGCUAACUCCGUGCCAGCAGCCGCGGUAAUACGGGGGGUGCAAGCGUUAUUCGGAAUUAUUGGGCGUAAAGAGCGCGUAGGCGGUCUUGUAAGUCAGAUGUGAAAUACCGGGGCUCAACCCCGGAAGUGCAUUUGAUACUGCAGGACUUGAGUAUGGGAGAGGGAAGUGGAAUUCCUGGUGUAGAGGUGAAAUUCGUAGAUAUCAGGAGGAACACCGGUGGCGAAGGCGACUUCCUGGACCAAUACUGACGCUGAGGCGCGAAGGCGUGGGGAGCAAACAGGAUUAGAUACCCUGGUAGUCCACGCAGUAAACGUUGAUCACUAGGUGUAGCGGGUAUUGACCCCUGCUGUGCCGCAGUUAACGCAUUAAGUGAUCCGCCUGGGGAGUACGAUCGCAAGGUUAAAACUCAAAGGAAUUGACGGGGGCCCGCACAAGCGGUGGAGCAUGUGGUUUAAUUCGACAACGCGAAGAACCUUACCUGGAUUUGACAUCCCGGGACCGCCCUUGAAAGAGGGAAAUGCCCUUCGGGGAGCCCGGUGACAGGUGCUGCAUGGCUGUCGUCAGCUCGUGUCGUGAGAUGUUGGGUUAAGUCCCGCAACGAGCGCAACCCUUAUCUUUAGUUACCAUCAUUUGGUUGGGGACUCUAAAGAUACUGCCCCGGUUAACGGGGAGGAAGGUGGGGAUGACGUCAAGUCCUCAUGGCCUUUAUGUCCAGGGCUACACACGUGCUACAAUGGACUGUACAAAGGGUCGCAAUCCCGCGAGGGGGAGCUAAUCCCACAAAGCAGUUCUCAGUUCGGAUUGGAGUCUGCAACUCGACUUCAUGAAGUUGGAAUCGCUAGUAAUCGUGGAUCAGCAUGCCACGGUGAAUACGUUCCCGGGCCUUGUACACACCGCCCGUCACACCAUGAGAGUUGGUUGUACCAGAAGUUGUUGGACUAACCCGCAAGGGGGGUAAACACCUAAGGUAUGGCUGAUGAUUGGGGUGAAGUCGUAACAAGGUA